UCCUGACGAAACGGCGGAGAUGCCCAGCCUGGAUAAGUUCCUCGAUCUUAUCCUUAAGGGCCUGACACUCGUCGGUUGAGUGUCCGGUGUUUUGGUGGUACCGACACUGCUUCCUCCGGUCGGCGUUAUUUGGGCUGGCCACCUUCCUUGGGGGAGGGAUCAGCUCAGCGUUGAGGGCUUCGUCCAGAAUCCUCCCCCGCUCGGUCGUCAGGGGUGUAUACCUUGAGAACCG
rnacentral:lncRNA from 1 species